ACCUUUGCACAGUGGCAUUAUCGUAGCCUAUGAGGUUUAUCCGAGGCGCGAUUAUUGCUAGUUGAAAACUUUACCUACUCAACUUGAACUUCAAUAGCAGCUGUAUUGAACAAAUAAUCUGUGCUUCAAUAACUGUA
rnacentral:snRNA from 1 species